GAGCGUGCUAUUGUAAUAUUCCAUAAAAAUUAACUUUUGGUGGGGAAACCUCUGGUAUACAACUGUUCGAAAGCCCGGUGAGGAUGCUAUUACUAUUGGACUUUCAGCGAAGCUUUUGUCUAGUUAUAUAGCCGCGUUCCCCUUUUUACGUCAACAACCUUCGGAGUUUGAGCCUCACGCUAGUGAUGUUCAUUCAUUCUGUCCUAUUCACUUUCCGGUAGGAUUGUGGUCUACCAUAGUAGAAACGGAUAACGGGUAAUUAGGGUUCGAUUCAGGAGAGGGAGCCUGAAAAACGGGUACCAUAUCUAAGGAAGACAGCAGGCGCGCGAAUUACUCAAUCCCGAUACAGUAAGGAG
rnacentral:ncRNA from 1 species